CAAGAGCUGUUCCUGCUUUGUGACUUCCUCCACCAGGGAAAUUAGAGUGUAGUUGGUGUUCAACUUAUCCACUCCACCUUCAGGUUACACUGUGGCCUGCUCCUGGAUUGCAGUAAAAUGGACUUAUCAUAUCAAAAACUUGGCACUCACCAUGGGACGAUAACCACCUUUUCACAAUCCUCAGAGCACUAAAUAUGGAAGAUUCCUUUGUGAAUGCUGCGACAACUGGAUGGUUACCAAAUCUCACAGCCUUUGUCUCCAAACAUCUUCACUUCAGCUGAAAAGCUCACACUUGCAACUUUAUCAGCACUUUAAAAAUUUGUGAGCGACACAAACUUUGAGUGGCAGUUACUGUAAAGCUUUCAUCCAUGAGAUUUUGUGUGCAUCUGAGAUGAACUCAGCUUUAUACUGAUCAAGAUAAUGAUAGAAUUAUAUUUUAAUGAAUUACAUAGGACUUGCCGAGGUUAAGAAGUUUGCAAGGCAUAAAACUAGUGAUUGAUUGGGUUUGGGUUUGAUUUUUUGGUGAUAACUUGAUGGUUCCUUUGUGUUAUAUUUGCAUUGAAACAAGUCUUGUACAGUGUAUUUCUCUUGCAUAUUCUUAACAAAAAAGUUUACCAUUUGUGUCAUGAGGGCAAUCAUUACUGUUUCUGGUAUUUUUUUCUGUUUCCUAUGCACUUUUGAUGUUCUUGUUCUAUUUAGAUACAGUGUACAGCAUCAGGUUAACCACUUGCCGCUGGGGUUUCCGGUACCAGACAUGGUCUCCAAAAUCAAAGGGAACUGGGCCUUGUAACAAAAGACUGUACUCAGAACAAAAGACCAGGCUGCUGG